CAUGAAAGGGUUAAGUGUAUUUGUACAAAGUAUCGGUAUCAGAUUGGUAUCGCCGUUACCAGCUUGAAUUUUACUCGGUAUCGGAUCGGAAAAGAAAUCCGUGGUAUCGAACAUCACUAGCGUUAAACCAU